rnacentral:rRNA from 1 species
AUACGGAGGGGGCUAGCGUUGUUCGGAAUUACUGGGCGUAAAGCGCGCGUAGGCGGAUUGUUAAGUCGGGGGUGAAAUCCCGGGGCUCAACCCCGGAACUGCCUCCGAUACUGGCAGUCUUGAGUUCGAGAGAGGUGAGUGGAAUUCCGAGUGUAGAGGUGAAAUUCGUAGAUAUUCGGAGGAACACCAGUGGCGGAGGCGGCUCACUGGCUCGAUACUGACGCUGAGGUGCGAAAGCGUGGGGAGCAAACAGGAUUAGAUACCCCGGUAGUCC